UUAAAAUUGAAAUUGAAAAUAAAUUAAUUUUGAAUUUUGAUAAAUGAGGAGACUUUCAUUGUUUCUCUCUCCGCUGCUCAUUAAAUCUCCAACGUCUUCGGUGUCUGAAAUUCAAAUUCUUCCUCGAUUGUAUCACCGCGCUGUAACUCCACCUCUAAUGGCGGCACCUAGAAAAUCCGGAGAAAAUUCAUCAGGAACUAUUCAAUUUGCAGUUGACAAAUUGCAUGCAUUCCUUCACUCCAAUCCCACUGAUGGGUGGGAGCGAUGUUGGGAGGAAGGAUUAACACCAUGGGAUUUGGGAAAGCCAACACCAGUUCUUCAACACCUUCUUCAAACCGAUUCUCUUCCUAAGGAUCUACCUUUGUCAUUGACAAGCAGUCUACCUAAUCUGGGCCAUGAUGUGGUGGCACUUGCUUCUCCUGAGCGAUACGUUGUUGGGUUGGAUAUAUCUGAGGCUGCCUUACAAAAAGCAAGAGAGCUGGCGUCAUCAUCCCCAAAUGCAAACUAUUUUUCCUUUCUACAAGUAGACUUCUUCACUUGGCAGCCUACUGAAUUGUUUGAUCUCAUCUUUGAUUACACAUUCUUUUGUGCAAUCCAACCACACUUGCGGUCAGCUUGGGCAGCUCGUAUGAGAGAUCUCUUGAAACCAGAUGGAGAACUUAUAACCUUAAUGUUUCCAGUUGAUGAUCAUGAUGGUGGACCUCCAUAUAAAACAUCUGUUACCGAUUAUGAAGAGGCUCUGCGUCCCUUGGGUUUCCACGCUGUAUCUAUUGUCGACAAUGAGCUCGCAGUGGAUCGUCGCAAGGGACGAGAGAAGCUUGGGAGAUGGCGCUGGAUGGCGAAAGUCUCUCCGCUUUGAAAACAACCAAACCCUUUGCAAAAAACGCGCAAAUGUAGCCAUUGUUGCUUUAAGAUGAGUUUAAAAACUUUGGAGACAACGUAGACUACUCCGGUAGCUUUGUUACGGAUAGCAAUAACAAUUAGUUUUCAAUUUACACGUGCUUCUUAUAAAAAGAAAGAAGAACGUUCUAGAGUUAGUGUCUAUUUAAGAUAUCACCGCUAUGGUAAUAUUAGGGGUGAUGUACAUAAUCUAGAUAAUACAACCCCACCUGGUUCUAAAAAUAGAAGUUGCGGGUGUAAAUUUUUGAUUGUAGAAAGUAGUCGUAAACCAGGAGAAAGACCUUGAACGGUAAGGGUGUGUCCUGGUAAAAAAGGAAAACAUAACCACCCGUUCUUCGUGUAUAGAGAUGGUCAUGUAAGGGCGAAUAGGAUCAAUAUAGAUAUUCGGGAGCACAUACGACAACUUAGUGGAACCGAAAUGCAACCGGCCUUUAUUAUGAAUUCUAUUAGAGAUAAUUUUCCUGGUUUUAUGCUAGUAUGAAUCUGAUAUAUAAUAUUAGGCAAUCAAUAAGGAGAGAAGAGAUGGAGGGUAGGACUUCCCUUCAACAUUGUCUUCAUAUGGCCACAGAACUUAAUUACGUGGUCUGGACAGACUUGGAUAUCGAAGGGCAAUUGAGCAGACUAUUAAUUGCAAAUCCUACCUCUAUCCAAAUGAUACGUACGUGGCCGUAUGUUGUGCUGAUAGAUACAACGUACAAAACGAACAAACAAAAGAGGCCACUAUGUGAAGUGAUCGGAAUGACGCCAACCAAUCACAACUUCUUAGUUGCGUUUUGUUUGAUGCGAGAUGAGGCGGCUGUGUCGUAUUCGUGGGUGUUGCAGGGAUUGAGAGAUAUUUUCGACACUACUAAGACUCCUAGCGUCAUUGUAACCGAUCGAGACGAAGGUUUAUUUGCAGCUAUUCGUGACAUCUUCCCAGAUGUGCGACAUUUGUUAUGCAUCUGGCAUAUUGCCAACAACGUAGAGAACAUGGUGGACAAGUUGUGUGGCGGGAAAAAAAAUCAACAAGGCCAAAUAUUCAGACAGGGCAGAUGGAACCCCUUGGUUGAAAGUUCCACAAUCGGGGAAUUUGAACAGAGAUGGCAAGCGAUCGUGAGUACGUGGUCGAUUAGGAACAAAAAGGUUGUUCGGUAUCUGGCUGGAACAUGGAUUCCACUUAGAGAGAAAUUUGUGCGUGCGUGGACAAAUGAUUGUUUCCACUUGGGUAACCAGACUACCAGCAGAGUUGAAAGCCAACACUCGUCUUUCAAGUAUUACCUUGGUAGCGGUAAUAGUUCAUUCGAUACCGUUUUUAAAAGUGCACAUGCACAGAUUAUAAAUCAGCAAGCCAAGAUCCGACAAGCGCUACAGGAAUCCAUGAAUUCUGUAGCAAGGUCGUUGCGACAGCAUUUCUUUUUAGACCUUUAUAUCGCCACGUAUCUAUCUAUGCCUUGGAGCAGCUCCAGCUUGAGUAUAACCGCAUGUUAGAACUGGGUGAUUUUGUAUUAAACAAAUGCGGUUGUGUACUUCAACAAACCCAUGGAUUGCCGUGUGCAUGUUAUCUACAUAUGUGCAUCGGUUCACAUGGUGUUAAAACUACAUUGCUACUAUAUAGAAUAUUCCUAUUAAUAAUCUUACAAU